GACGAACGCUGGCGGCGUGCCUAAUACAUGCAAGUCGAACGCAGUGGGGACGGGUGAGUAACACGUGGGUAACCUCCCAUCAGAGGGGAUAACACUUGGAAACAGGUGCUAAACCGAUACUGAUGGAUGAACUAGCGGUGCAUUAGGUAGUUGGUGAGGUAACGGAUCACCAAGGCCACGAUGCAUAGCGGACGUGAGAGGAGGGUAGGCCACACUGGGACUGAGACACGGCCCAGACUCAUACGGGAGGCAGGAGUAUGGAAUCUUCGGCAAUGGACGAAAGUCUGACCGAGCCACGCCGCGUGGGUGAAGAAGGUUUUCGGAUAGUAAAACUCUGUUGUUAGAGAAGCGGUAUCUAACCAGAAAGCCACGGCUAACUCCGUGCCAGCAGCCGCGGUAAUUC
rnacentral:rRNA from 1 species